rnacentral:lncRNA from 13 species
GGACUGCCCUGCGGAAGUUUUAUACACAGGGACCUUGCAGUUUCCCUUGGUGCACCCCCUGGUGGACAUUCCAGGCCAUUGCAGCUUCUGCAUGUGUUUGGUCAGGGAUUCAGUGGCAAUACCAUUGAGACACUUAAACACAAGCUUCACAUUUGCAAAUCUGAUUAAGUUUUUAACAGCUCAGUACAUUGUACUUUUUCAGGAUGUAACAGUGAUGGUACCCGUACAUGUUUUUGGACCAAUAUUUUCAGCGCACACUUAUACAGUGACUCUAAGGGUCACUGCACUGUCUGGCUGGCCUGGAACAAGGAUGUUAUACAGAGUGACAUGUGAGAGAACCCCAUUGCAUGUAAGAAUAAAAAAGGCACUAUCAAGACACAGACAAGGUCUUUAUUAGUCUGAAACAGUAGAAGCUUGCUUUGAUAGUCCUACUGAUCUUUUUAGCAUGUUUGUCCAACUUCAUAUUUUACCUCUGUGACUUGUUUGUCUUUUCUUUGAUGCGGACAGAGAGCGACUUUGUCACUGGCAGCUUCCUUGUUGAGAAACAGAUUGAGACCGUUUACUUUACAUUCAGUCAGACAGAGUUCAACCAGGUGGCCACUGAGUCCAGGUGUUUUGUCAAAUGUUUAUUGACAUCAGCACAGGUUUUAUAAGACACAUAGACAACAGUGUCAUCAGCGUACAUUUGAAGGCCGGCACUUACUGGCUCUAUGUCAUCAUACUGGCUCUAUAUCUCCUCUGUUAUUAUACUGGCUGUAUAUCUCCUCUAUGUCAUCAUACUGGCUCUAUAUCUCCUCUGUUAUCAUACUGGCUGUAUAUCUCCUCUAUUUCAUCAUACUGGCUGUAUAUCUCCUAUGUCAUCAUACUGGCUGUAUAUCUCCUCUAUUUCAUCAUACUGGCUGUAUAUCUCCUCUAUGUCAUCAUACUAACUGUAUAUCUCCUAUGUCAUCAUACUGGCUGUAUAUCUCCUAUGUCAUCAUACUGGCUGUAUAUCUCCUCUAUGUCAUCAUACUAACUCUAUAUCUCCUAUGUCAUCAUACUGGCUGUAUAUCUCCUAUGUCAUCAUACUAACUGUAUAUCUCCUAUGUCAUCAUACUGGCUGUAUAUCUCCUCUAUAUACUUAGAGUUAUCUUCAGUGGCUGGACUGCAUUCUGGGCUCGGUGCUAUCACGUUUCAGGAGAAGACCCAGAUGCAGACAGUGUC